UGAAAAUAUCUUCAAGCGACAGUUGAAGUCGUCCAUGGACUGGUUGGUACUGAUUAGACAGCCAGCUAGAUAGUGCCAACAAGAUCAGAGAGAAUUUGUUAGAUCGAGAGACCGACUUGUCUUCACAUAAAAUCAACUUUAAAAAGGACAGCCAGUAUAAUGUUUAUUUCAAAUUCAUGGACUAAGUGCUUGAUAUGCCUUAUCUUUAUAACAAGUGGAAAUGCCGAGUGUCCUAAACCUCAAGUAGAGGGAAACGUUGUUCUAACGAAUGCUGCGCUAGUAAUUAACGUUUUUCCGGAGGGGGAGGAAGCCACUUUUGAGUGUGCCAACGGCUACUUGAAAGAGCAAGGAUCUGAAAGAAUCACCUGCGCGAGUGGAAAGUGGAGCACGCUCAAAUUAACCUGCAAAAAGAAGGACUGUGGUGCCCCCAGGAAGAUACCACAUUUGACAUAUGAGUUUGGGGAAGGCACGCUUUUUGGUGCAUCAGCAAGAGCAAUCUGUGAUAAAGGUUAUCAACUUAUGGGCCCAAGUUACAGGCAGUGUUAUGCCAUAGGUUGGAGUGGAAGACCAAGAUGUAAAGUGGUAACUUGUGAUAAACCUCCUGAGAUAAUGAAUGGCACGAUCACAGAGAAGCCUGGCGAAGAGUUACCAGAGUAUGGUGGUGUCAUACAGUACUCCUGUAAUGAAGGUUACACCCUCAUUGGAAACAAAUCAAUUGAGUGCAAUGAAGAUGGUGAAUACAACUCAUUACCUCCUGAAUGUAAAGAUGUCAAUGACAUUCCUUUGAAACCAACAGCAACUAUUUCAAUAACAACAACAACUGUUCCACCCACAAUACGAGAUGUCAAUGACAUUCCUUUGAAACCAACAGCAACUAUUUCAAUAACAACAACAACUGUUCCACCCACAAUACGAGGUAGAGGAAAUCCAAGUAAAUCUAUCCCAGUGUAAUCAAGGGCUUGAUUAUUAGUUUAAUUUGAAAUUUGCAGUUUCAGGGAGUAACAGUGGUGUACACUUAUUUAAAAUGAAAGCACUGCAUGAAGGUGCAAUACUGAAUAACCAUUGUACAUUUCUAUUGCAUAGAUGUCAAUGACAUUCCUUUGAAACCAACAGCAACUAUUUCAAUAACAACAACAACUGUUCCACCCACAAUACGAGAUGUCAAUGACAUUCCUUUGAAACCAACAGCAACUAUUUCAAUAACAACAACAACUGUUCCACCCACAAUACGAGUUUCAGGGAGGAAUAAUGGCAUUGGGGAACAUGACACCAAUGCAGCUACUGGGAAUGCAGCAGUUGUGAUAAGUGUGAUCAGCACUGUCAUAGUUGCACUUAUCAUUGUGCUGUUCAAACUGUAUCAUUGUUAUAAGAGGAAAGGCUCGUACCAGAUGGGAGAAGACCCAAGUCGAACAGAGGAAUCAUUACAAUUUAAAAAUAACUAAGUUGAAUGCCUACCCAAGGGCUAGGACUGCACCUAUCUGCUAGUCUGCAUCUGUAGCCUUGAAAAGAAGUGCCAGCGGAUUGUUCCUCUGACCAUUCCCUGGUUGGACAAAGCCAUUUAAUUUACAGUGCCCUUAUGUAUGUGGCAUUACUGAAUGGAAGUUAUAAUUGCACUUUUUAUUAAGUUGUUUUUGAAAGUCAGUUCAGCGGAAAUGUUUUAACCCAAUGUUUGAAAACCGGUAUAUAUUUUUUUCUAUUGAUAUACAAAACUGAAAUAUACGUAAUUGUCUUUUCAACUACCAUAUUUGACUACAGGUUGCUAGCUUGCUCUGUUGUGUGGGCAGAAAACCCUGUAAUAAAAUGAGUGCACUAAACAAAAUGUAUGAUUGAGGAAAUCCCCAGGCUGAUAAUCACUGACAAUUUCUAAAUGUGUGCUUACUAAUUGUGGCUCACAGGAAAAUAACAGUAAGAGACAGUUUCCUGGACCCAGGUUAAGGCUACAGCACUGUAUUCCUUUUCAAGUAGGCUUAAUCUGGGUCCAGGAAACCAGCUCUUCAUGUUAAUUUCCUGCAGCCCCAAAUGUCACAAAAUAAUGUCAAUCUUAUUAGAGGUUUUGUACUUUGAUUUUAUAGUGUGUAUUGUGUGAUUUAAGAGAUCAAAUAAUUUUUAUGAUAACUGCCUUUUCUCCUUCUUUGAGACACAUUUGUGUAAAUAUGAAAGUAUGUACAUUGUCUAAUAAUCAUGGUUGGGUAGGUUCAUUUGUAAAUGUAAUCUGCUACAGUUACUAUACUAUAUCCCAGAAAUGUUCCAUAUGCACAAAAAGCUUAUUUCUCUCAAAUGUUGUGCAUAAAUUAGUUUACAUCUAGGGUUGCCAACUUUUUCACUACCAAAUAAGGGACAAAAGGUUGCGUUCCAGUGCACAGUGCCACGCCGGUAUGGGUAUGGUGUCGUGUGAAUGAAUAUACAGUGUAUAUUCAUAUUCUUAUUAAAUUGUAACGGCAAACAUUUCUAUAUUCCAUUUAGCCUAUAGCUUUACUAAAAUGGUAUCAUUAUGUAAACUUAUGUGAAUAAACCUCAAAAUAAAUGA